rnacentral:rRNA from 1 species
UUGAACGCUGGCGGAAUGCUUUACACAUGCAAGUCGAGCGGCAGCGCGGGGGCAACCCUGGCGGCGAGCGGCGGACGGGUGAGUAAUGCAUCGGAACGUACCUAGUCGUGGGGGAUAACUAUCCGAAAGGAUAGCUAAUACCGCAUACGUCCUGAGGGAGAAAGCAGGGGAUCGCAAGACCUUGCGCGAUUAGAGCGGCCGAUGUCGGAUUAGCUAGUUGGUGGGGUAAAGGCCUACCAAGGCAACGAUCCGUAGCUGGUCUGAGAGGAUGAUCAGCCACACUGGGACUGAGACACGGCCCAGACUCCUACGGGAGGCAGCAGUGGGGAAUUUUGGACAAUGGGGGAAACCCUGAUCCAGCCAUUCCGCGUGAGUGAAGAAGGCCUUCGGGUUGUAAAGCUCUUUCAGGAGGGAAGAAACGGUUACGGAUAAUACCUGUGACUAAUGACGGUACCUUCAGAAGAAGCACCGGCUAACUACGU